GGUUAAGCGACUAAGCGUACACGGUGGAUGCCCUGGCAGUCAGAGGCGAUGAAGGGCGUGCUAAUCUGCGAUAAGCGCCGGUAAGGUGAUAUGAACCGUUAUAACCGGCGAUACCCGAAUGGGGAAACCCAGUGUGUUUCGACACACUAUCAUUAACUGAAUCCAUAGGUUAAUGAGGCGAACCGGGGGAACUGAAACAUCUAAGUACCCCGAGGAAAAGAAAUCAACCGAGAUUCCCCCAGUAGCGGCGAGCGAACGGGGAGGAGCCCAGAGCCUGAAUCAGCAUGUGUGUUAGUGGAAGCGUCUGGAAAGGCGCGCGAUACAGGGUGACAGCCCCGUACACAAAAGCGCAUGUGCUGUGAGCUCGAUGAGUAGGGCGGGACACGUGGUAUCCUGUCUGAAUAUGGGGGGACCAUCCUCCAAGGCUAAAUACUCCUGACUGACCGAUAGUGAACCAGUACCGUGAGGGAAAGGCGAAAAGAACCCCGGCGAGGGGAGUGAAAAAGAACCUGAAACCGUGUACGUACAAGCAGUGGGAGCCCCACCACUAAGCCAGUGGUGAACUCCACAUACGCAUCCUUUGCUGAGGAUGCGGUUAACGGAGCGAAAGCGACGUUCAACCGCAAAAGAAGCAGAGGGGGCUUAGUGGUGGGGUGACUGCGUACCUUUUGUAUAAUGGGUCAGCGACUUAUAUUCUGUAGCAAGGUUAACCGAAUAGGGGAGCCGGAGGGAAACCGAGUCUUAAUUGGGCGUUAAGUUGCAGGGUAUAGACCCGAAACCCGGUGAUCUAGCCAUGGGCAGGUUGAAGGUUGGGUAACACUAACUGGAGGACCGAACCGACUAAUGUUGAAAAAUUAGCGGAUGACCUGUGGCUGGGGGUGAAAGGCCAAUCAAACCGGGAGAUAGCUGGUUCUCCCCGAAAGCUAUUUAGGUAGCGCCUCGUGAAUUCAUCUCCGGGGGUAGAGCACUGUUUCGGCUAGGGGGCCAUCCCGGCUUACCAACCCGAUGCAAACUGCGAAUACCGGAGAAUGUUAUCACGGGAGACACACGGCGGGUGCUAACGUCCGUCGUGAAGAGGGAAACAACCCAGACCGCCAGCUAAGGUCCCAAAGUCAUGGUUAAGUGGGAAACGAUGUGGGAAGGCCCAGACAGCCAGGAUGUUGGCUUAGAAGCAGCCAUCAUUUAAAGAAAGCGUAAUAGCUCACUGGUCGAGUCGGCCUGCGCGGAAGAUGUAACGGGGCUAAACCAUGCACCGAAGCUGCGGCAGCGACGCUGAUGCGUUGUUGGGUAGGGGAGCGUUCUGUAAGCCUGCGAAGGUGGCCUGUGAGGGUUGCUGGAGGUAUCAGAAGUGCGAAUGCUGACAUAAGUAACGAUAAAGCGGGUGAAAAGCCCGCUCGCCGGAAGACCAAGGGUUCCUGUCCAACGUUAAUCGGGGCAGGGUGAGUCGACCCCUAAGGCGAGGCCGAAAGGCGUAGUCGAUGGGAAACGGGUUAAUAUUCCCGUACUUGGUGUUACUGCGAAGGGGGGACGGAGAAGGCUAUGUUGGCCGGGCGACGGUUGUCCCGGUUUAAGCGUGUAGGUGUGUGUUCCAGGUAAAUCCGGUUCACUUUAACACUGAGGCGUGAUGACGAGGCACUACGGUGCUGAAGCAACAAAUGCCCUGCUUCCAGGAAAAGCCUCUAAGCAUCAGGUAACAUCAAAUCGUACCCCAAACCGACACAGGUGGUCAGGUAGAGAAUACCAAGGCGCUUGAGAGAACUCGGGUGAAGGAACUAGGCAAAAUGGUGCCGUAACUUCGGGAGAAGGCACGCUGACACGUAGGUGAAGUGAUUUACUCAUGGAGCUGAAGUCAGUCGAAGAUACCAGCUGGCUGCAACUGUUUAUUAAAAACACAGCACUGUGCAAACACGAAAGUGGACGUAUACGGUGUGACGCCUGCCCGGUGCCGGAAGGUUAAUUGAUGGGGUCAGCGCAAGCGAAGCUCCUGAUCGAAGCCCCGGUAAACGGCGGCCGUAACUAUAACGGUCCUAAGGUAGCGAAAUUCCUUGUCGGGUAAGUUCCGACCUGCACGAAUGGCGUAAUGAUGGCCAGGCUGUCUCCACCCGAGACUCAGUGAAAUUGAACUCGCUGUGAAGAUGCAGUGUACCCGCGGCAAGACGGAAAGACCCCGUGAACCUUUACUAUAGCUUGACACUGAACAUUGAGCCUUGAUGUGUAGGAUAGGUGGGAGGCUUUGAAGUGUGGACGCCAGUCUGCAUGGAGCCGGCCUUGAAAUACCACCCUUUAAUGUUUGAUGUUCUAACGUGGACCCGUGAUCCGGGUUGCGGACAGUGUCUGGUGGGUAGUUUGACUGGGGCGGUCUCCUCCUAAAGAGUAACGGAGGAGCACGAAGGUUGGCUAAUCCUGGUCGGACAUCAGGAGGUUAGUGCAAUGGCAUAAGCCAGCUUGACUGCGAGCGUGACGGCGCGAGCAGGUGCGAAAGCAGGUCAUAGUGAUCCGGUGGUUCUGAAUGGAAGGGCCAUCGCUCAACGGAUAAAAGGUACUCCGGGGAUAACAGGCUGAUACCGCCCAAGAGUUCAUAUCGACGGCGGUGUUUGGCACCUCGAUGUCGGCUCAUCACAUCCUGGGGCUGAAGUAGGUCCCAAGGGUAUGGCUGUUCGCCAUUUAAAGUGGUACGCGAGCUGGGUUUAGAACGUCGUGAGACAGUUCGGUCCCUAUCUGCCGUGGGCGCUGGAGAACUGAGGGGGGCUGCUCCUAGUACGAGAGGACCGGAGUGGACGCAUCACUGGUGUUCGGGUUGUCAUGCCAAUGGCACUGCCCGGUAGCUAAAUGCGGAAGAGAUAAGUGCUGAAAGCAUCUAAGCACGAAACUUGCCCCGAGAUGAGUUCUCCCUGAGACUUAGAGUCUCCUGAAGGAACGUUGAAGACGACGACGUUGAUAGGCCGGGUGUGUAAGCGCAGCGAUGCGUUGAGCUAACCGGUACUAAUGAACCGUGAGGCUUAACCUU
rnacentral:rRNA from 1 species